rnacentral:rRNA from 1 species
GACCCCCAUACCACCCUGAACGCGCCCGAUCUCGUCUGAUCUCGGAAGCUAAGCAGGGUCGGGCCUGGUUAGUACUUGGAUGGGAGAAUCA